rnacentral:rRNA from 1 species
UACGUAGGGUGCAAGCGUUAAUCGGAAUUACUGGGCGUAAAGCGUGCGCAGGCGGUUUUGUAAGGCAGAUGUGAAAUCCCCGGGCUUAACCUGGGAACUGCGUUUGAAACUACAAGGCUAGAGUGUGACAGAGGGGGUGGAAUUCCACGUGUAGCAGUGAAAUGCGUAGAGACCCGGAGGAACACCAGUGGCGAAGGCGGCAUCCUGGUCUGCGACUGACGCUGAUGCGCGAAAGCAAGGGGAGCGAACGGG